UGGCUAGGACGAACGCUGGCGGCGUGCCUAAUACAUGCAAGUCGAACGGUCUUUCUAUGGAAGCUUGCUUCCACUGAGAAGAUAGUGGCGAACGGGUGAGUAACACGUGGGUAACCUGCCCAUAAGAGGGGGGAUAACAUCCGGAAACGGGUGCUAAUACCGCAUAGUUUUCUUGAUCGCAUGAUCGGGAAAAGAAAGACGGCCUUUGUGCUGUCGCUUAUGGAUGGACCCGCGGCGUAUUAGUUAGUUGGUGAGGUAACGGCUCACCAAGACGAUGAUACGUAGCCGACCUGAGAGGGUGAUCGGCCACAUUGGGACUGAGACACGGCCCAAACUCCUACGGGAGGCAGCAGUAGGGAAUCUUCCGCAAUGGACGAAAGUCUGACGGAGCAACGCCGCGUGAGUGAAGAAAGGUUUUCGGAUCGUAAAACUCUGUUGUCAGAGAAGAACAAGUUGGAGAGUAACUGCUCCAGCCUUGACGGUAUCUGACCAGAAAGCCACGGCUAACUACGUGCCAGCAGCCGC
rnacentral:rRNA from 1 species